UAUGUCUUAUUGAUCAUCUUCAAUCUGAAGGCGAAAUAAGUGGAUUGCUUAAGCUUCUGGAAGAAUUGCAAGAUCCUGACUAUUGGGUGGACGGUUGCUGCAGAGUUAUCAUGUAUUGUAUGCGUAACAAGCAUAUAAGUUCUGCCGUCAAUCUGCUCAAGCAACUUAAGGAUAGAAUCAGUGAGUUGGUCAUGCAAGUUCUUUUCGAUGAGGUUUUCUCACUGUUUGCUGAGACACAGCCUAUGGAGCUGCAUAUGGGACUGGAGUUGCUUCAAGCCAUUAAGGAUGAGCUUUGUGUUUGUCCAUCUCGGAAAUCUCUUGAUUUUCUCCUCAGUGCUUGUGGUAGGGCCAAAGAUUUGCAUAAUUCUCUUUCGAUCUGGAAAGAGUAUGAGGCUGCCGGAUAUCCUUACAACGUCACGAGUUAUUUAAGGAUGUAUCAAGCCCUUUUGGCUUCAGGGGACCAAAAAUCGGCGAAGCUUAUGCUUGCUAAAAUUCCAAAAGACGAUCUUCAUGUUUGCUUGAUUAUCCAAGCCUGUCAAAAGACUUACAUUGGGUCCAAUUCUACAAAGGNNNNNNNNNNNNAAAAAAAACAAGAGAAAAAUGAAAGAAAAAACGAAUGAAAAAAAGAACAAGAACAACCAGGAAAAAGAAUCAAUAGUGAAAUGAACCCAAAUCUAAAUGUGGAUAAAAAUAUAAAUAAGACUAACUUGCAACUUUAUCCAACUCAUGGAAAAAUUCAAUGGCAGUAGGGGCCUUCUAGCGGAGCAUGCAAAAGGAGGAAGAAGAAAAGGAAAGGAAAAACUACCCAUUUAUGAGCAAGUAAGCAAAAUGUGC
rnacentral:misc_RNA from 1 species